rnacentral:rRNA from 1 species
CCUACGGGUGGCAGCAGUGGGGAAUAUUGGGCAAUGGGCGCAAGCCUGACCCAGCAACGCCGCGUGAAGGAAGAAGGCUUUCGGGUUGUAAACUUCUUUUCUCAGGGACGAAGAAAGUGACGGUACCUGAGGAAUAAGCCACGGCUAACUACGUGCCAGCAGCCGCGGUAAUACGUAGGUGGCAAGCGUUAUCCGGAUUUACUGGGUGUAAAGGGCGUGUAGGCGGGACUGCAAGUCAGAUGUGAAAACCACGGGCUCAACCUGUGGCCUGCAUUUGAAACUGUAGUUCUUGAGGACUGGAGAGGCAGACGGAAGUCCUAGUGUAGCGGUGAAAUGCGUAGAUAUUAGGAGGAACACCAGUGGCGAAGGCGGUCUGCUGGACAGUAACUGACGCUGAGGCGCGAAAGCGUGGGGAGCAAACAGGAUUAGAUACCCUGGUAGUC